GAGCGCAGGGNGCAAUCCCNUAGAGCGGCGGAUUGUGAUUAACGGUGGUGAUUUACCCUGGGUUGGGAUACCAUUAGAAAUAGUGGUAAUACCGAAUACGGCCGUGAGACUAUGGUUUUACGAAGAAAGGGGUUACGGCCCCGCCCCGGGAUGAGCCGGCGUCCCAUUAGGUAGUUGGUGAGGUAAAGGCCCACCAAGCCGGAGAUGGGUAGCCGGCCUGAGAGGGUGAACGGCCACACUGGGACUGAGAUACGGCCCAGACUCCUACGGGAGGCAGCAGCUAAGAAUAUUCCGCAAUGGACGAAAGUCUGACGGAGCGACGCCGCGUGUAUGAAGAAGGCCGAAAGGUUGUAAAGUACUUUUAUUGCUGAAGAAUAAGCGGGGGAGGGAAUGCCCCUGUGAUGACGCGAAGCAAUGAAUAAGCCCCGGCUAAAUUACUUUUCCCAACCAGCCCGCCGGUUAACCCC
rnacentral:rRNA from 1 species